rnacentral:rRNA from 1 species
AGAGUUUGAUCCUGGCUCAGGAUGCUCGUUGGCGGCGUGCUUAACACAUGCAAGUCGAACGAAGCACUUAUCUUUGAUUCUUCGGAUGAAGAGGUUUGUGACUGAGUGGCGGACGGGUGAGUAACGCGUGGGUAACCUGCCUCAUACAGGGGGAUAACAGUUAGAAAUGACUGCUAAUACCGCAUAAGACCACGGAGCCGCAUGGCUCAGUGGGAAAAACUCCGGUGGUAUGAGAUGGACCCGCGUCUGAUUAGGUAGUUGGUGGGGUAACGGCCUACCAAGCCGACGAUCAGUAGCCGACCUGAGAGGGUGACCGGCCACAUUGGGACUGAGACACGGCCCAAACUCCUACGGGAGGCAGCAGUGGGGAAUAUUGCACAAUGGGGGAAACCCUGAUGCAGCGACGCCGCGUGAGCGAAGAAGUAUUUCGGUAUGUAAAGCUCUAUCAGCAGGGAAGAAAAUGACGGUACCUGACUAAGAAGCACCGGCUAAAUACGUGCCAGCAGCCGCGGUAAUACGUAUUGGUGCAAGCGUUAUCCGGAUUUACGGGGUGUAAAGGGCGCGUAGGCGGGGAGAAAAGUCAGAAUGUAAAAAUCUAUGGGCUUAACCCCAUAAACUGCAUUUGAAACUAUUUCUCUUGAGUGAUGGAGAGGCAAGCGGAAUUCCUAGUGUAGCGGUGAAAUGCGUAGAUAUUAGGAGGAACACCAGUGGCGAAGGCGGCUUGCUGGACAUUAACUGACGCUGAGGCGCGAAAGCGUGGGGAGCAAACAGGAUUAGAUACCCUGGUAGUCCACGCCGUAAACG